UCCUGAACUUUGGCCACAGCAGCCCACCAGGCAGUGCUAGACUUGGGCAGAUUGGUUGGAAAGUGGAUCAGUGGAAAAGGACCUGGGGUUGCUGGUUGACAGGGCUGAACAUUAGCCAGUGUGUGCCCAGGUAACCAAGAAGGCCAGUGGCAUCCUGGCCUGAAUCAGGAAUAGUGCAUCCAGCAGAACCAGGGAUGUGGUUCUUCCACUGUACUUGGCACUGCUGAGGCCUUAUCUCAAGUACCCAUUUCUAGGCCUCUCAAUUCAGGAAGGACAUUGAAGUGCUGGAGUUGUCCAAAGAAAGGCAGCACAGCUGUGAAAGGGUCCGGAAACAAGGCUUAUGAGAAGCAGCUGAGGGAGCUGGGGGUGUUUAAUCUGGAGAAGAGGAGUCUUAGGGGAGACGCUAUCACUCUCUACAACUCCCUGAAAGGUGUAGCUCAGUGGGGAUUGGGCUCUUCUCCCAAGCAACCAACGACAGGACAAGGGGACACAGUGGUAAGCUGUGUUAGGAGAGCUUUGGGUUAGACCUUAAAAAGAAACUUUUCACAGAAGGGGUGAUUAGGCAUUGGAACAGCUGCCCAGGAAGGUGGUGGAGGCAGCAUCACUGGAGGUGUUUAAGGUAACAUUUAGCUAAGUUUUGUUCAUCUGUAUCACUGGGAGGAUGGCAAGAUCGGAUUGGAAAGAGCAGAGUAAAGCGUGUGGCCAAAGGAGAUCGAGGUUCAAGGACAAGUGAUAAGUCUGUGAAAAUGCUUAGUUGGGCAUUUAUAAGACCAAGAGGUGCAGCAUCUUUUAUUUCAUUUUACUGCAUUUUUUUAUUUUCCCUACAAAAAUAAAUCUUCACAUAUCACUGCUUAUUCCUUAUACAUCAAUUAUACAAACUUUUGGACAAAAUCUAAGUUCAGAAUGAUGAGAUAUAACUGCAGAGAAUGUGUUUAUUCACAUCUUGAAUUGGUGUUCCAUUCUAGUAUACAGGAUUUAUACAAGUCAGGACAAGCAAUAGAGUCAUGAGAAGAAAGAAGUAACACAAGGAAAGGACUGACUGUGAAAUCAGGAAACAAUACUGGAAAACUAGCAUCAUUUCUUGUCUUCUUGAUUGCAGUGGGUUGAUUUUCUAAAUUAUCAAACCCUCAUGUGCCACAACUGUAAAAUAGUAUGUGGGUAGUCACAGAUACCAUAGAGUCAACGAGAUGCAAACCAGUGGUGGACAUGUGGCUGCACUGGGGCAUAUUAAAGGACACAAAAACCAAAAUUUUUGAUGGUUUUAUAUAGCAGUAAGAAGACACAUGAAACCUGAUCUGAUGAAGAUUCAUUAUUGUGGACAGAUGUUACUGAUAUUUCAAAAAGCUUGAACAUAAGAACUGAUCUGCUGGCCCUUGAGUGACUUUGAACCAGCACCAGCUGCUGUGACUGCAACGCAUUUGAUUCAGCAGAAGGAGUCCAAAAUCUGCUUUACUGCACUGCCAAACUGUGUCAUUUGUACUGAAUGUCAAAUGAGCAAAUGUUGUACAUUUUUACCUCUUAGAACUAUUUAUGACUGUAUCUUACUCCACUUCAGCCCAGUAUGUAGACUGUACCCAUUUUUUCAUGCUAAUUAUAAAUCAUUCUGUGAACAUUUCAGUUAACUCAUAGUUUUAAUUUGGCUGAUUUUACCACUCUUCCUCCUGCAAAUGUGUUUAAUAUGUAUCCACUUGUAUUGCUAGUCACACAUUUGGGACAAAGAAGAGAGACUAAACAAAAUCUUCUAGAAGUAAGUGAUAUGAGACUGUGCAAUUUGGUGUCCUAAUAAUGAAAGUCGACAGGUUGGGUUGUUGGUUUUUUUUUUUUUGGUUGGGUUUUUUUUUAAUUUGAACUGGUAUUUGAUGAAUCAGUAUCAAAAUAUUGCAAACAGUCCAUUAUUCUUAUGCCACACACUGUGUCAUAUAAUUUGAGGGUUUAAAAAAAUCCUUAGACAAUAAAAUAGUUAAAACCUCUGUAUGUUUCCCUCUGUAUGUUAAAUACAGAGGGAAUUAUAUUAAAAGAACUGAAUUGCCUAUCGAUCUGAGAUCUCUAUUUAAAUAAAUCUUAGAAACUCUGAAAUAAUUUAAAUUUUAAAUUCAAUGACCACAAGAUAAUGGCAUUUUAUGUUUAUAUACUUAACAGUACACAGUUCCUCAAAAUCAUGAACCCAUGUUUUUUGUUCUUUGAGUUUACUGGUGGUGUAUAAUGUAUAAGAACUCUAUUAUCUUCCUAAACCACUUUUGGACUAUUUUAUCAGUCUUUUAUUUUUCCCUAAGAAGCAUUUUGAUUAUACACCUGGACAGCUGCUGUUGUAGCUUCCACGUUUCAAGUAAGGCUAAUUAUACUUUUGGUACUGGCUGUUCAGAGUAAAUAGUCUGGAAAGUAACAAAGUAGCAAAAGUGUCCUGAUUUACGCAUCACAGCUUAGUCUUUCCUAGACAAUAGUGUAUAACAUAAGACUAGAAAACCAUACAAGCUGCUAACUUUUUUGUUUGAUUUUCUUGAGAAUCUUCCUUAUCUUAUUUUUAUACUGAGUGGUUCA